rnacentral:rRNA from 1 species
GAUGAACGCUGGCGGCGUGCCUAAUACAUGCCAGUCGAGCGAACAGAUGAGGAGCUUGCUCCUCCGACGUUAGCGGCGGACGGGUGAGUAACACGUGGAUAACCUACCUAUAAGACUGGGAUAACUUCGGGAAACCGGAGCUAAUACCGGAUAAUAUAUUGAACCGCAUGGUUCAAUAGUGAAAGACGGUUUUGCUGUCACUUAUAGAUGGAUCCGCGCCGCAUUAGCUAGUUGGUAAGGUAACGGCUUACCAAGGCGACGAUGCGUAGCCGACCUGAGAGGGUGAUCGGCCACACUGGAACUGAGACACGGUCCAGACUCCUACGGGAGGCAGCAGUAGGGAAUCUUCCGCAAUGGGCGAAAGCCUGACGGAGCAACGCCGCGUGAGUGAUGAAGGUCUUCGGAUCGUAAAACUCUGUUAUUAGGGAAGAACAAAUGUGUAAGUAACUAUGCACGUCUUGACGGUACCUAAUCAGAAAGCCACGGCUAACUACGUG